rfam:Mycobacterium smegmatis str. MC2 155, complete genome.
GGCGUUUUUCGCCGCGGCGGAGGUCGACCGCCGACUGCGGUGAUCGUCGACUACAUCGACGCUUACCGCCACCGGUUCGGGGUCGACCCGAUCUGCGCCGUGCUCUCCGAGCACGACAUGCCGAUCGCCCCG